rnacentral:tRNA from 1 species
CAAGGAGUAGUUUAUGUAGAAUUUCAGCUUUGGGUGUUGAAGGUGGAGUAUGAUGCUUCUUCCUUGA